rnacentral:rRNA from 1 species
UCCUACGGGAGGCAGCAGUGGGGAAUAUUGCACGAUGGGCGCAAGCCUGAUGCAGCAACGCCGCGUGAGGGACGAAGGCCUUCGGGUUGUAAACCUCUUUUAGUAGGGAAGAAGCGACUGGGUUUUCCUGGGAGUGACGGUACCUGCAGAAAAAGCACCGGCUAACUACGUGCCAGCAGCCGCGGUAAUACGUAGGGUGCAAGCGUUGUCCGGAAUUAUUGGGCGUAAAGAGCUCGUAGGCGGUUUGUCGCGUCUGCUGUGAAAACCCGAGGCUCAACCUCGGGCCUGCAGUGGGUACGGGCAGACUAGAGUGCGGUAGGGGAGAUUGGAAUUCCCGGUGUAGCGGUGGAAUGCGCAGAUAUCAGGAGGAACACCAAUGGCGAAGGCAGAUCUCUGGGCCGUAACUGACGCUGAGGAGCGAAAGCAUGGGGAGCGAACAGGAUUAGAUACCCUGGUAGUCCGUGCCGUAAACGUUGGGAACUAGAUGUGGGGACCAUUCCACGGUCUCCGUGUCGCAGCUAACGCAUUAAGUUCCCCGCCUGGGGAGUACGGCCGCAAGGCUAAAACUCAAAGGAAUUGACGGGGGCCCGCACAAGCGGCGGAGCAUGCGGAUUAAUUCGAUGCAACGCGAAGAACCUUACCAAGGCUUGACAUAUACCGGAAACGGCUGGAAACAGUCGCCCCGCAAGGUCGGUAUACAGGUGGUGCAUGGUUGUCGUCAGCUCGUGUCGUGAGAUGUUGGGUUAAGUCCCGCAACGAGCGCAACCCUCGUCCUAUGUUGCCAGCACGUAAUGGUGGGAACUCAUGGGAUACUGCCGGGGUCAACUCGGAGGAAGGUGGGGAUGACGUCAAAUCAUCAUGCCCCUUAUGUCUUGGGCUUCACGCAUGCUACAAUGGCCGGUACAAAGGGCUGCGAUACCGCCACGGUGGAGCGAAUCCCAAAAAGCCGGUCUCAGUUCGGAUUGUGGUCUGCAACUCGACCUCAUGAAGUCGGAGUCGCUAGUAAUCGCAGAUCAGCAACGCUACGGUGAAUACGUUCCCGGGCCUUGUACACACCGCC